GGAAGAAAAUCACAUUUCUUUUCCCACCGCACAAACUGGGAAUAGUUUCUGUGGGAUCUGGGAGCUGCAGGGGGAAGAAUGGAUCACAUGGGAGCCUCUCCGAGCUGGGAGGAGCAUGCGGUGCGGAAUCAGGUCACCGACAGAAACACGAGCUAGCCACGGCCACCGGCAGAGAGAGCCUGAGACAAAGGCAGGGGAGCUGAUGGGAAUUCAGCCGCUUUCUCCCCGUCUCUGGCCAUUAAACCUGGUCAUUUCACGCUCCUUUCAUCAGCCAAUCCUCCCUCCAGGAGAUCUCUUCUCUUCAUGGGCCAUUAAUUAUUAAUUAUCUCCUGUUCAUGGCCAGUGAGUGUCCCUGCAUGGCUGAGAAAAUGCCAUCAUCCCAUGGGGAGAGGCUCCGCCCAGGGAAAGAGCCAAGCAUUCCUACCUGGAUACAAUCUGACCUGGGGAACACCACAGCAGCCUUUGCCCACUGCAUUCCCAGAGGAGCAGCUUUCUUCCCCACUGCAUUCCCAGAGGAGCAGCUUUCUUCCCCACUGCAUUCCCAGAGGGAGCCCAGGCCCAUCUCCAGCAGCCCUGGAGCUCCAGAGGAAAACUCCAGCCUUGUCCAGGAUCCUGCUCCAGCAGAAGCACAGCUGGCACUGCAGGAGGGCUGAGCCACCAUGGAAUGGGACUGCUGCCAGCACCCUGACCCACCGGCUGCCAGACCUGUUCUGACUCUGGCAGUGGUGUUUGUACCACUGCAUUUGUAUUUUUUAGUUUUCCUAAUAAAGA